rnacentral:rRNA from 1 species
AUUGAACGCUGGCGGAAUGCUUUACACAUGCAAGUCGAACGGUAGAGGGGGCAACCCCUCGAGAGUGGCGAACGGGUGAGUAAUAUAUCGGAACGUGCCCAGUCGUGGGGGAUAACGUAGCGAAAGUUACGCUAAUACCGCAUACGAUCUAAGGAUGAAAGCGGGGGAUAGCAAGACCUCGCGCGAUUGGAGCGGCCGAUAUCAGAUUGUGUAGUUGGUGGGGUAAAGGCUAACCAAGCCAACGAUCUGUAGCUGGUCUGAGAGGACGACCAGCCACACUGGAAAUGAGACACGGUCCAGACUCCUACGGGAGGCAGCAGUGGGGAAUUUUGGACAAUGGACGCAAGUCUGAUCCAGCCAUUCCGCGUGCAGGAUGAAGGCCCUCGGGUUGUAAACUGCUUUUGUACGGAACGAAAAGGUCUCUCUUAAUACGGUGGACUCAUGACGGUACCGUAAGAAUAAGCACCGGCUAACUACGUGCCAGCAGCCGCCGUAA